UUCACUUCUCUCUUGGACACUGGCGGGUGUAGACACGGUAAUUAUGAUCCUGGCGUUGGCCGUCAGUGGAAGAGCGUAGCUUAGGUGGGGUUCUGUCUGCCUCUGAUGGGGUGUGGAUGUAUGGUUCGUCACUGGUGAAUGGUGUUCGACGAUGCAGGUGGAUUUUGUGACGAGCGGAUUUACAAUGAGGGAAUGCUGUGAACGGGAAAAAUGAUGAGCUGUCCUAACUUGCCCAGACAUGCCGUGAUGACGUCACAGGAUGUCCGGAACUGGUGGUCAUAGCUGCGAUGCUUUGCAACCUGCCUCUGUGCUCCGUCGCCCAGCGACGGUCAGCGGCCUUUCCGGACCGCUUUCUUCAAGAUGGCGCCGUUGAUCUUCAAUUAAACUCCUUCUCUCCACUCUA